UAUUAGUCAGCAGGCACUCUGAUCAGCCAUGCCGCGUGCAGUGAAGACAGGCCCUAUGGGUUGUAAACUGCUUUUGUACGGAAGAAAACCCUUUCACGUGUGAGAGGUUGAUAGUACCGUAAGAAUAAGCAUCGGCUAACUUCGUGCCAGCAGCCGCGGUAAGACGAAGGAUGCAAGCGUUAUCCGGAUUCAUUGGGUUUAAAGGGAGCGUAGGUGGACUUGUAAGUCAGUGGUGAAAUCUCUCACCUUAACUGAAAAACUGCCAUUGAUACUGCAGGUCUUGAGUACAGAUGAUGUGGGCGGAAUAUGACAUGUAGUGGUGAAAUACUUAGAUAUGUCAUAGAACACCGAUUGCGAAGGCAGCUCACAAAACUGUAACUGACACUGAGGCUCGAAAGUGCGGGGAUCAAACAGGAUUAGAUACCCUGGUAGUCCGCACCGUAAACGAUGAUUACUCGUUGUUAGCGAUAUGACAGUUAGCGACCAAGCGAAAGCGAUAAGUAAUCCACCUGGGGAGUACGCCGGCAACGGUGAAACUCAAAGAAAAUUUGACGGAAUUGACGG
rnacentral:rRNA from 1 species